ACGAGACCGAUAGCGAACAAGUACCGUGAGGGAAAGUUGAAAAGAACUUUGAAGAGAGAGUUCAAGAGUACGUGAAACCGCUCAGGGGUAAACGGAAAAGACCCGAAAUUUCCGAAAAGGGAGAUUCACGUCUUCUCGCGGGUUCAACGCAUCCGCUCCUCUCCGACGGCCCUGCUCCCGCCCGGACUCGUCCGGCGCGUGGUGGUGGGGUUGCAGAGGGCGGUGUGGAGGCCUGCGGCGGACCGCACUUCUCCCUUAGUAGGACGUCGUGACCCGUCCGGUCAUGGUCAUAAGGUCGCAGGGUGGAGCCUGUCCGUUCGUGCUUGCACGUUUUCGAGCAGACCCCCGCGUCCCGGCCAUGAUAUCCCCGGUCGGUAACGAAUGACAGUGUUCGGCCGCUCACCGGUGGAGGAAACUCCUUCCAGCGAGCGCGAUCGUAGCCCUUGACAAGCUGCCGGGUUCGUCAGUCAAGGCGGGCUUCCGUCCGUCUGGCUGCGCUCGGUCCUGUUGGUCAGGGUGCCCUUUCGCUCGGCUUAUUUACACUUGUCUACGGCGAAUCAGUUUUGGGCUCUUGUCCGACCCGUCUUGAAACACGGACCAAGGAGUUCAGCGUGUACGCGAGUCAUUGGGUUGUUCAAACCCAAAGGCGAAAUGAAAGUGAAGGGAACUUUACGUUUCUGAGGGAUGAUGAGUCGGUUACCCGCAAGGGGCUGCUCCGCACUCCCGGGGCGUCUCUUUCUCAUUGCGAGUGGAGGCGCACCCAGAGCGUACACGCUGAUACCCGAAAGAUGGUGAACUAUGCCUGGCCAGGACGAAGCCAGGGGAAACCCUGGUGGAGGUCCGCAGCGAUUCUGACGUGCAAAUCGAUCGUCGGAGCUGGGUAUAGGGGCGAAAGACCAAUCGAACCAUCUAGUAGCUGGUUCCCUCCGAAGUUUCCCUCAGGAUAGCUUGCGCUCAUGUGAACGAGUCUCAUCCGGUAGAGCGAAUGAUUAGAGGCCUUGGGGUCGAAACGACCUCAACCUAUUCUCAAACUCCAAAUAGAUGAGAACUCCGGCUUUCUUGAAUUUUUUUUUUUGAAGCCGGGGGCUCGGAUCAGAAAUCCGCUAAGGAGUGUGUAACAACUCACCUGCCGAAGCAACUAGCCCUGAAAAUGGAUGGCGCUGUAGCGUCGUGCCUAUACUCGACCGUCAACGGCAAAAGAUGGCUGGCGGGCAACCGUCGGCCGUUACGCCUUGACGAGUAGGAGGGCCGCGGCGAUGUGCGUAGAAGGGUCUGGGCGUGAGCCUGCCUGGAGCCGUCGUCGGUGCAGAUCUUGGUGGUAGUAGCAAAUACUCCAGCGAGGCCCUGGAGGACUGAUGUGGAGAAGGGUUUCUUGUGAACAGCUGUUGCACAAGAGUCAGUCGGUCCUAAGCCCUAGGAGAAAUCCGAAGCGAUGGGUUGCCGUGAAACCACCAUUGUGUAAAAGCUGGCACCCGUUUGGGCGAAAGGGAAUCCGGUUCCUAUUCCGGAACCUGGCAGUGGAACCGUUCCAAUUCGGGCCCUCUGAGGACUCGUCAGGGCAACCUGAAUAGACCCGGAGACGCCGACAGGAGAUUGGGGGAGAGUUGUCUCUUCUCUAUAAGCGAUCGAGUUCCCUGGAAACUUCUAGCAAGGAGAUAGGGUUUGGAUCGCGAAGAGCACUGCAGUUACGGCAGUGUCCCAAUCUUCCUCUCGGACCUUGAAAAUCCGGGUGAGGGCCACGAGGAACCCCACGCCAGACCGUA
rnacentral:rRNA from 1 species